rnacentral:lncRNA from 1 species
CGAGCUUUUAUAAUACCAUUCGGACUUCUCCAGCGGUUGACCUUCCACAGUGUCUUCCAGAUUCUCCCAACGGACGGACUCCUAUCAUGCCAUCCAGACUUCUUCAAUAAUGAGCUCUCCCAUUCAUCUAUCGGACUGCUCCAAAUGCUCUCCGGGCUUCAUUAUCAGCCGACUUUCUCCAGUGAUUGGCUACCUUCUGAAUCUCUUCCAGACUUCUUCUUACCAUG